UUCCCUUCGGGGACAUUGGUGACAGGUGGUGCAUGGUUGUCGUCAGCUCGUGUCGUGAGAUGUUGGGUUAAGUCCCGCAACGAGCGCAACCCUUGUCUUUAGUUGCCAUCAUUAAGUUGGGCACUCUAGGGAGAGUGCCAGGGAUAACCUGGAGGAAGGUGGGGAUGACGUCAAAUCAUCAUGCCCCUUAUGCUUAGGGCUACACACGUGCUACAAUGGGUAGUACAGAGGGUUGCCAAGCCGUAAGGUGGAGCUAAUCCCUUAAAGCUACUCUCAGUUCGGAUUGUAGGCUGAAACUCGCCUACAUGAAGCUGGAGUUACUAGUAAUCGCAGAUCAGAAUGCUGCGGUGAAUGCGUUCCCGGGUCUUGUACACACCGCCCGUCACACCACGGGAGUUGGAGACGCCCGAAGCCGAUUAUCUAACCUUUUGGAAGAAGUCGUCGAAGGUGGAAUCAAGAACUGGGGUGAAGUCGUAACAAGGUAGCCGUAUCGGAAGGUGCGGCUGGAUCACCUCCUUUCUAAGGA
rnacentral:rRNA from 1 species